GGAGGGCCCUGCUCCCCACUCUCAAACCUUUGGAGGAGUGGCAUUGUGUUUGGGGGUUCUUUGUGUCCUGUUGGUGUCAACCAUUUUACCUCUCUGUGUCUACUUCAGCACUGCCCUCUCAGAGCACAACACAAAUUUGGUGAGGGAACUGGAGCAGCUAACAGAUGAGCAUAUAUCCCUACUGGCAGCCAAUCAGGACCUAAUGAAUCUCUACUGCAAGCUGAGUGUAGCCAAUCACAUUUUGCAGAGCGAUUACAUCAAAGUGUCUACUGAAAACCAGCAAUUGAAGGCAGAGAGGAUGAACUUGUCAAGAGACCGGGAUGGGCUCAACUGGACUCUUGGGGUCAUAUUUCAGUUGAAGAAUUUCCCAGUUGAUAACUACUGCCCAUAUGAAGAUGCCAACACCAAAGAUAGAGCAUGCAAACCUUGUCAAGUUGGCUGGGUGCUGUUCCAAUCCAGUUGUUACCUGUUUCUGCACAUUAAAGUCCCCUUCGGUCACCUUUGGAGGACCUGGCAAGGAAGCAGACAGCACUGCAAAAACAACAAUGCCGAUUUGGUUGACAUAGGCAGUCAAGAGGAACAGGAAUUCAUUCUCAACAACACUCAAGCCUACUAUGAUGAAGAUCAUGGGUACUGGAUCGGCCUGACUGACAUAGCAGAAGACGGUCAAUGGCUUUGGGUUGAUGGACGUAAUCAGAAUCUGACUGAUGGGUUUUGGAAGAAUCAACCUGUAUGGGGUCGCGAUUGUGCUUUAACUAACCCAAACAAUGAACCUUUGGCUAAUUGGAAUGCUGCAUCAUGUGGCCAGAGAAACCGAUGGAUCUGUGAGAGUAAAGCAUUAAUAUGGUCAGGAUAAAUUGAGCCACGUUCACAGUCAAAAAAGCUAUUGUAUAGCAGUGUAUAACCAUUUUUAAAUAGAACACUUGUGUAGGGCUUUUAGGUUCCGUUUUUUAAUAUAUAAAAAAAAGCAGUUUUAUAGCGAUGCAACACUCUAAAUCAGCAGCUUUAAUCGUCACUUCAUGUAAAUGUACCUCAGAGUAGUUAGGAAAGUUAAUUGAGCAAAGAAAAUGCAUUACUGUGCUCAUAUGUAGCAACCUCAUAUCUGAUGUUGAUAUCACAUUGUUUAAAACAGCCAUGUUGAGAAUAUUAAUACAAGACCACUAGACAAGUAUAAAAACACCAGUUGACGCUAAAAUACACUGCUCAAAAAAAUAAAGGGAACACUUAAACAACACAAUGUAACCCCAAGUCAAUCAUACUUCUGUG